UCUUGCUGAGAUGAAAUCCUAUCCGUUUAAACUCCCAAAAAUAACCGCUCUAAUGGCGGUUCAGGACGGUUAUUGAGAGUUUUCCUGCUAGUGGUUUUGCUCCAAACUUUUCUGCCCAUUAUUUCCAUGACUCAACCUUCUCCCAAGGCAGUUCUUUACGGUUUCUCUACCUGGUGGUUAGGUCCCUCAUUUCCUGCCCAUGAUCUUCUCAACUCACUCCUACAAUCCUGGUAAACUAUCAACCGCCCGCUAUAUUUUAGGGUUUGAAGAGGUUAAAUGUAGAUUGACUACUGCGGUUGCGACAAGAAGGAAAUACGAAGUAGAGUUCUCCUGGAUUCCUUCAAUUAAUGACAGUUCCCCCAUGCUCUCCUAAUUGCAGGUCCGUCGAUUUGGGCUUUUCACCCACCUAUAAAUCUAUCGUCUCAUCUCCAAAUAAAAAAGCGAAUGAAGAAAGUAGAUACGACCUACGAUUGAUGGAGUGAGCAGGGGUCGAUAUAAUUGAUCUAGGGUUCCACCCGCAAGUUAAGGUAAUAAGUUCUUAGUCUCAAAUCGAAUUUUUUAUAUGAUCUAGGGUGUUGUAGUGGCGAAGAGAGGAGGCCUAAUGACGUUAAGGAAGCUUUGAAAUCGAGAAGAUUGGGGAAAACUUUUAGUUUCAUCAUCAAUUGACACCCUGUACGUCCAUCAUCAAUUGGCACACAUCUACCAAUGGUAGAUGUUGCUAUUAUUAAGGUCGGAUUAAGAGGAAAGAGGGAUGGAACUAAUGUGGUAUCCAAGUUUAAUAAAGCAAAAUUCAUAAUUCUACAUAUAAAGAAUGUGUCUAAUAUGAUGCACAUUUUUUCCCGGAUCACGCUACUAGGGUAUGACCACACAUAAUUCCUUGGUAAUACUUUGAAUAAAUUGCGGGACAGAAUGCUAAGGUGCCUUUUCAAGUGUCAGUAUUGAACUUGCUUUCAUAUUAAGCUAUAUGGGGCAUCAAAGAACUGGUCACUUUGAAGUCAAAUCGUGGAUCUGAUUAUAAGCAUCGUGAAAGGGAAACAGGUACUAUUUUUGAAUCUCAGCAUGGACAUAUUUUUAAAGAUGACAAAAUGGAUGGGUCAAGUAACGGGUUAACACAGAUACAUUAUUGGCCAAUUUUCUAGUGGAUCAAGUUUAAAGCAGUUCAAAAGGCUUCGGGUUUGUUACCUAUGCAGCCGUUACUGGAUAAAGUUGCAUUAAGGUUUAAUGGAAUGUUGUGUAUAUGGGACUAAACAAGAAGCUAAAUGGGUAGGGCUAAAGCAUUGAAUGGCCAAGACGGGUGGAAAUAAAGGAUUGAACGAUUACAUUGGGUGGCUAAAAACGUUACUCCGCUUCUUUUAUUGGACUCCACUUUACUAGAGUAAAUCUCAAAGCUUCUUCAUCUAGAUUACCAUUGCAGUUUGAAACUUUGCUAUCGUUUGAUCGUUGUUGUAUAAUCGGUUAUAAAGAUUGCAGUGUAUAACCAAAUACCGAGAGGGAGACGAUUCAGAGGCAUCCUGAUUCAGUGUGUUCAUGAGUUGGUUACGGCAUCAAUGAGGUCAAAAGAAACCCACACGCAAUUACACGUUUUUGGAGCUUGCAAUAGGUUGUGCUUCUUUUAUAUACUUACGUCCUUCUGUUCGUAUAUGUUUCUUCUUUUUUUGUGUACUUGCUUAAGUACUAAUCAUGUAUAUUCGCCAUGAAUUAUGUUUAGAUGUUGAACUCUCUGCUGGUUGUGGUGAUCAAUCCAUCCAUAGAGUUUUUGUUUAUUCUAGUAUGAGUCAUUAUAUAGCCAAUGUGGUUGGCAAUGGCGCUUCCGAAACAUAUAACAUGCAUGCGAAGUGCUCAAAACUCAUGGUGUUGACCAAACUAAAAGGCAUUGUGGUCAAUACCUUUGUCUAGAAUAGACAAGAAAUAACAAAAAGGUUACUUGGUUUUUGGUCUUUUGCUAUUACGCUAACUUUUUACUUUGAUGUAGGUGGUCUUAUAAAUUUUGUAUAAUAGCUUCAACACGAGGGGUAAUUCUUGGUACGUAUAGUGGCCAACUGCAUGAAAUUGUUUUUGAUGAGGAAUAUAAGAUGGAGAAAUACAUUGAUUCUUUGUAAUAGGUUAGAAACAGUAGUAUACCAAUUGUCGUCCAAAGAAAGGAUAUUGUUUUAUUUAUUUAUUUUUUAAAUCAAAUGGGUAUUUGGCUAAA